rnacentral:tRNA from 1 species
GGCGCUGUGGCUCAAUUGGUAGAGUGUUAGCCUUGAGCUAAGAGCUGAGGGACAGCGCCC